CGCUGGCGGCGUGCUUAACACAUGCAAGUCGAACGAGGGGAUUAGAAGCUUGCUUUUAUGACCCGAGUGGCAAACGGGUGAGUAACGCGUAGACAACCUGCCUCUCAGAUGGGGACAACAGCCCGAAAGGGCUGCUAAUACCGAAUGCUGUAUUUCUUCCGCAUGGAGGAGAUAUUAAAGAUGGCCUCUAUUUGUAAGCUAUCACUGAGAGAUGGGUCUGCGUCUGAUUAGCUAGUUGGUGGGGCAACGGCCUACCAAGGCAACGAUCAGUAGCCGGUCUGAGAGGUUGAACGGCCACAUUGGGACUGAGACACGGCCCAGACUCCUACGGGAGGCAGCAGUGGGGAAUAUUGCACAAUGGGGGAAACCCUGAUGCAGCGACGCCGCGUGAGUGAAGAAGUAUUUCGGUAUGUAAAGCUCUAUCAGCAGGGAAGAAGAAAUGACGGUACCUGACUAAGAAGCCCCGGCUAACUACGUG
rnacentral:rRNA from 1 species